UGUUCUAUGCAUGGAGGUAUCUUACCUCCAUGGAUCUAUGACUUGUUUUUAUAUCUUUGAAACGUUUAUGUAUGUGGUGUUUACAUUACACUGCCCAAGAUGUGGUGGUGCUGUUGAAGAGAGAUGUCUGUUGGCGUAAAUUUAAGUCAGUUUGCUAGAAAUAGCUCUGUUUCCUUACCAGUUCCUUCUGAGACGAAGAGACAGUUAGUUGACGAUGAAGAGAAGAAUGAAGGUCCAUCCAGAAGUGCGAAGGAGAAAAGAGUCCAUCCGCCGUCGUAUGACACUCCGAAAAUUGCUACAUUGACAGAAAAUCAUUCGCAACUAUCUUCUGUGAAGUCUGAAGCAGAUGUGGAAAUCGAUGAGAGUGAUGUGUAUGUUGACUGUGAAGCUGGUGAUAUAAACAGUUGCCAUUCGUACAAAUCCCAGUCCGUCUCUGGGCUUUCUAGAUCAGAGAUUCAGGCACAGAAAUCGAAGAAAAAUGGGCUUACAGCCCUGGAGAAACAAGUGCUUGGUCUGAAGCAACAACAUCCUGGAAUGAUUCUCAUGAUACAAAAUGGAUACAAGUACCACUUUUAUGAAGAAGAUGCUGAGAUAGCUUCAAAGCUGCUGGAAAUUGCAACAUUUCGUCUUCAUAAUUUCCUGCAGGCAUGCGUACCUGUAGCUCGCCUAAAAUAUUAUGUCUACCACUUUGUAGAGAAAGGUUAUAAAGUGGGAGUGGUCAACCAGACUGAAACUACUGCACUGAAGGCAGCUGGAGAAAACAGGAAUGCCCCAUUUUCAAGAGAACUAAGCUGUGUUUACAGUCGAGCCACAUUAAUUGGUGAUGAUGUAAAUCCGCAGGCCUUUGAAGGAAACUGUUUGAUGAGAGAGAGAAAGCCUUCGUGCAUUCUUUCUCUGUGUGAGGAUAACACUGGAAAUAAAACAACUAUAGGAAUUGCAACAUUUGAUCCCAGCACUGGUGAGGCUAUAUAUGACUCAUUUGAUGAUCUGAAAACAAGAGAAGAACUUGAAAAAAGAUUAGCUCAUCUAAAUCCUGCAGAAAUACUGAGUCAAGAAACACUCAGCACAAGCACCGAAACUUUAUUAAAACAUAGCGGAGCAUGUCUGGAUCGACUCUCAGAUGAAGAAUAUGAGUUUUCAAAAGCAUUGGCUGUCGUUGCCGUAUUUCUGAGCAGCCCAAAUGACAAACCAAUAGGCUAUUCUGAACCAGUGUUGACUUUGAAUGAAUUAACACCAGUAGUGAUCAGGGCUCUGGGUGCAUUGUGGCAGCAUCUGGCACAAUUUAAACUUCAGGAUGGAAUGAGUGCUGCAAGGUUAACAAGUUUUACAUCGCUGGAAAAGCACUUGCAGUUGAGUGCAGCAGCCCUUCAGAAUUUGGAGGUUUUUGCAAGCAGUAGUGGUGAUGAAAGAGGGUCCUUGUUAUCAAUAAUGGAUCAUACACGAACUGCAUUCGGGAAAAGAUUAUUGGAACAAUGGCUGUCACAACCUUCCCGUGAUAUUUCAGAACUCCUGAGGCGGCACGAUGCCGUGCAGGAGUUGAUCAACCCUAACUGCAGAGUUACUCCUCUACUAGGUGACAUUCUAAAAGGCCUUCCAGAUCUAGAUAGAGGACUUACAAAUGUAGCUUAUCACAGAUGCACUACCAACAACUUCUACCGAUUGAUAGAAGCUUUGAGUUUUAUUUAUCAAAGCUUGGAAGUUAUUGCAGUUGUUACAGAAGCCUAUGUUCAAAGUUCUUUAAUAAGGGAACUAAUAAUUGACAUAACUGUACAGCUCAGUGAUGUAAAGGAAAUUAUGAACAUUUUGAACCCUUCAGCAGCCAAGAUUGGUGACAAAACAUCAAUUUUAAAUGAUUAUUCAGAGUUCCCAAAUGUUUUGAGGACCAAGACAGAAAUCAAGGCACUGGAAAAUGAGCUGGAUGAGUUGCGACCAUCCAUUGCAGAAACUUUGGGAGUGCCUUUGUUCUACUAUAUUACAGUUGCUGGUCAAGAAUAUUUGAUACAAGCCAAGAAGGAUGUGCAAGUGCCUCUUGACUGGAUCCUUGUCAAUCAGACAAAGACCUAUCGACGGUACCGUUCCCCACAAGUUAUAUCGAUUUUGAAGCAGUUGUGUCAGCUACGUGAAAAAGUAGAAGCUGAUUGUGAAGAAGCUUGGAGAAAUGUGGUGGACCAGUUUAACAAAGAUUACAUAAGACAUAAAAAAUCUAUUAAAAAUCUUGCAGCCUUAGAUGUAUUGUUAUCAUUUUCAGAAGCUGCCAAGCUCAGUGAUUACUGCAGGCCAAAGCUGACUGAAUCAGUAGAAUCAGAAAUUCAUAUUAAGAAUGGACGACAUCCUGUUCUAUCAAGAAUUAUGGAAGAAUCUGGACAUUUUAUUCCAAAUGAUUCUUAUCUAAAGAGCUCUGAGCCUAUGGUGCUGUCAGGACCUAACAUGGGAGGCAAAUCUUGUUAUGUUCGCCAGGUUGCACUGUUAGUCAUUAUGGCACACACCGGCUCAUUUAUACCAGCUGAGUAUGCCACUAUCAGCAUUCUUGAUGCCGUUUAUGUAUGGAUGGGUGGAGGAGAUAACAUUUUGCAAAGGAAGAGCACAUUUAUGGUUGAAGCUGAGGGAGCAUCAAAUAUCUUGAACCAAGCAACAACCCAGUCGUUAGUUAUAAUGGAUGAAUUUGGGAGAGGUACAAGUACUUAUGAUGGAGCUGCUCUGGCUGCAGCAGCUUUGAACUACCUCAAAUCCAAGGUUGGCUGUCUACUACUCUUUGUAACACAUUACCCUGAGGUGAUGGAAACUGUACCAGACUGCAACUACCACAUGGGAUACCACAUAGUAUGUGAAGAUGAAGAAGCUGAAGGAAAGUUAAUAUUCCUGUACAGUGUUAUGAAAGGAGGAGCAAGCAGCAGCUAUGGCUUAAAUGUUGCCCGCAUGGCUGGUAUUCCAGGAACCAUAAUAAAAAUAGCAAAAGAUUUUGCUGAGAGAGUAAGAGCUCAAAGAAUCAUCAAAAGAGAGAUGAGGGGGCUUCUACAGAAUAUAUGGUCUGACGAUGAGGACGAAGUAAAUAACGCUCUCAAUGAAAUUGCUGACCUUCAUGUGCCAUGGAAACAGCACCAUGAUGCAGUUGAUACAUGCUGAUGCCCUUCAACAAUGAAGAGUUUGGAAUGUUAUCAGAUAGUUUUAUCUCUCAUUAGGGAAGGAAUUUCUGUUCUUAUGGAUGCAUGUUAACUUCUACGAAAAAGUGUUUUUUUUUUUUUUUUAAAGAACUGGAAUGUCAUUAUCGUAUUUUAUGAUAUAUGUAUGGAUUAUUAAGGAAAAUAUUAUUAAUUUAGAAAGAAAAAGAUGACAGAAUAUCUUGCAAGUCAGUAAAUAAAUUAUAUGAAGUUUUACAUUCUUAUCAUAACUGACACAGUCUUGCGAUGAAAAAAGUUGUUACUCUGCAAGAAAAUGAAAUAUGGCAUGGUGAAUUAGCUGGUAUGUACAUCUCAGAAGUUAUCACUGUUUUAAUUGGUUUGUUUUAAGGAAAAGUUUAAUAAUAAAAGGAAAGAAGUGGGAGAACAGUUGCUAAUAACAUAUCUAAAUCUGUAACUUCUCUUUGACUGUAGAAUGCUGAAUGAGGGUUCUGGCUGUGGACAGCCUGGGAAUUUUGUAUAGUGGUUUUUAAAAUCAGUCGUGGGAAGAAAGUAGACACGGCGGUUGGACAGCACCAACAAGUACCUGUUGGGCAAUCCAUAGAUGUUUUAGUGAGUGUGUAAGGAAGAACCAUGGAGUUUAUCUGCAGCUCUGUGCUUAUUUUGUCACUGACUGUUGUUAUUAAAACAAGAACAGUUGAAAAAAUACUCUUGUAAACUCUUGACGCAACCUUGUUAGAGGCAAUACUCAUUUUAUGAUUCAUGUUAAGAAAGGUCAUGGUAUCCAAGCCAACUUUCUUGUAACUGUAACUCAAUUUGUUUCUAAUGUUUGACUGUAUGAGAGAUUUGCAGGAAGUUAGAGAUUUAUGUGGAAAGUGAAAUUUUAUUGUGC
rnacentral:misc_RNA from 1 species